UACGUAGGGUGCAAGCGUUGUCCGGAAUUAUUGGGCGGAAAGAGCUCGUAGGCGGUUUGUCGCGUCGGCUGUGAAAACUCGGGGCUCAACCCCGAGCCUGCAGUCGAUACGGGCAGACUAGAGUGCUGUAGGGGAGACUGGAAUUCCUGGUGUAGCGGUGAAAUGCGCAGAUAUCAGGAGGAACACCGGUGGCGAAGGCGGGUCUCUGGGCAGUAACUGACGCUGAGGAGCGAAAGCGUGGGGAGCGAACAGG
rnacentral:rRNA from 1 species